rnacentral:rRNA from 1 species
AGCGGCGAACGGGUGAGUAACACGUGGGCAACCUUUCCUAUCGCGGGGGAUAACAGCGGGAAACCGCUGCUAAUACCGCAUGUCGUCACCGGUCGCAUGCCGGUGAAGAAAGCAGCAAUGCACGAUGGGGUGGGCCCGCGGCCUAUCAGCUAGUCGGUGGGGUAACGGCCUACCGAGGCGAUGACGGGUAGCUGGUCUGAGAGGACGACCAGCCACACGGGGACUGAGACACGGCCCCGACUCCUACGGGAGGCAGCAGUGAGGAAUCUUCCGCAAUGGGCGAAAGCCUGACGGAGCGACGCCGCGUGUGGGAUGAAGUCCUUCGGGAUGUAAACCACUGUUGGAGGGGAAGACUUCGACGGUACCCUCCGAGAAAGCCCCGGCUAACUACGUGCCAGCAGCCGCGGUAAUACGUAGGGGGCAAGCGUUAUCCAGAUUUACUGGGCGUAAAGCGCGUGUAGGCGGCUGGUUAAGUGUGAUGUGAAAUCUUCGGGCUCAACCCGAAAACUGCAUUGCA